UUCCUUUAAUCACUCAUCCUGGUUUCCUCAGGUCCACUGUUCAUGUUUAGAGAUUCUGGAAGGGUCACCUGCCCAGAAAAUUCAUGGUACCUGCCCAUUUCCUGAAUGGGAAACUGUUGACUUUCAUCUCCUCACUAGCACAGACAAGCAUAUUGAAAUUGUGUAGAAGAAUCCUGAGGGCAAAAAGAAAGAAGAUAAUCUGGUGGCAGAAUGAAGAGAUUACAUAACCUGUUAACAACUGCAAAAGAAGUGUUGUGAAGACCAAAGAGAAAGCAGCCUGCCUAGAAACUUUGCAUGAUUCUGCCCUUAGAUGUUUAAGCACGCACACGUAAAAGGAGUUGGGUAAGACAGAAAUGUUCUCCAUGGAUAUGAGCAGGAAUGUGGGC
rnacentral:lncRNA from 1 species